GGUUGCGAUCAUACCAGCAUAAUGCACUGGAUCCCAUCAGAACUCCGCAGUUAAUCAUGCUUAGGCGAGAUUGGUACUAGGAUCGGUGACCCCUUGUGAAAUCCUCCUAUUGCAUCCUU
rnacentral:rRNA from 1 species